GUUUCGCGAUUUGAAGCUCGAUCGCACGGUUCCGCCAUCACUGCUCAUCAAGAAAGGUCGGAAAUCGAAACUAAUAAUCGGUCAAAUUGUGAUAGGGAUUGUGUAGAGUAGAGCUUGUAGAUAAUGUAUCCAUUUUGUGUUUGUGUUUUCGUUGCGAAUUGAGUGCGUAAUCUACAAUUGAAGUUUCGAAGCAUUUUUCAUUUCCGUCGAUUUGCACUGUGUACGAAUUGAUAGCAGAAAUUGUUUGCAUAUUUGUGUUCCUGAUAAAAAACGCGCUUCGAUCGGUAUGGAUAUUGUGAAUUUCUGUUAAGAUUUGGCCAAAACCGAAUUCGCCGGCGAUGAACACACCGGCGCGCGAAGAAGAGAGAAUUUUCUGGAUUGGCUUUC
rnacentral:lncRNA from 1 species